rnacentral:lncRNA from 1 species
CUGAUAUUCAAAGAGAUUAAAGGACUUGCCCAAGAUCACCAGGCAGAGCUGGGACUCACACUCAGGCCCACGUGGAGCCAGAGCCCAUGCACUUCACCUUCCCAAACCCAUCACUGCCCACAGACGUGGCUUCCAGUCCAGGCUCCGCUCCUCACUAGCCGUGUGGCUUUUGGCAAAUUUCUCAGUCUCUCUGGUCUUUGAGUCCACAUCUGCUGUUUGCACAUCUCAGGGAGCUAUCAUUCAAAUAGACAGUCUUUAUGACAGGGGAUAUAGGAUACACAAAAAAGGCUCAGCACUAACCCAGAAGCAAACCCUCCUUGGAAGAGAAAAGGAAAAGUGGGAGCAGAAGAGACAGAAGGCGAGAGGAAAGACCUGCCGAGCGCAGGCCCUGGAGCAAGACUUUCAGGCCCGUGAAGACAUCCCGGGACUUGGGACCCAGCACCCGCAGCCUGCAGCUCAGCCAAGUUGCCUCAGGCAUCUUGACCAUCGGCCUGCAGCUGACAAUGCUAAGGAUGAUUUUAUUAAGAAAAAAAAUAAUCCAGCUCAAUAUGAGUGCUGCUUAAGACUUUUGGUCAUAAUUGCUCAAAAUAAUAAUAUAACCCCACUGGCCUCUUUAAUUACUCAAGCAGUUUUUCUUCUUUUCAUAAGGCACUUCCAUUUGUUCUUGACAGGAUUGUAAAGUAUUUAUCAACGCUAAUGAUGCAGCCCUCCAGAGCCCCGUUUCAUCAAAAGGGAAAUUGUGAAGAAAUAUAUUUCCUAUGCUACAAUACAUCAUAAAGGAAAGUGAACAGAAAAAUAGCCAGGGCCUUCUCCCUGGCUAAUGGGAUGCACCUGCUGGGGUCUUGGAUCCACUAGUCCUGAGCAUCUGGGUUCCCUGCUACACCCACAUAGGCAUCAGAGUACCCACACACAUGUGGAGAAGGCUGCCAUCUUGGAGGGACCGAAGAUGAGAUCAGAGACACCUGAGUCCCAGGUCCAGCUUCUGAUACGUAUUAUUGAAUACAGAGGGAAUGUUCUC